UCUUUCUUUGCUGGCGACCGGCGCACGGGUGAGUAACACUAUCCAACCUGCCCUUUACUCGGGGAUAGCCUUUCGAAAGAAAGAUUAAUACCCGAUAGCAUAAUGAUUCCGCAUGGUUUCAUUAUUAAAGGAUUCCGGUAAAGGAUGGGGAUGCGUUCCAUUAGGUUGUUGGUGAGGUAACGGCCCACCAAGCCUUCGAUGGAUAGGGGUUCUGAGAGGAAGGUCCCCCACAUUGGAACUGAGACACGGUCCAA
rnacentral:rRNA from 1 species